rnacentral:rRNA from 1 species
UACGUAGGCAGCGAGCGUUGUUCGGAGUUACUGGGCGUAAAGCGUGCGUAGGCGGUUGUCUAAGUUUGGUGUGAAAUCUCCUGGCUUAACUGGGAGGGUGCGCCGAAAACUGGGUGACUGGAGUGUCGGAGAGGUAAGCGGAAUCCUGGUGUAGCGGUGAAAUGCGUAGAGAUCAGGAGGAACACCUGUGGUGUAGACAGCUUACUGGACGAUAACUGACGCUGAGGCACGAAAGCGUGGGUAGCAAACAGG